rnacentral:lncRNA from 1 species
CUAGGGCCAGUCAACAAGAUUGAAAGAUGAAAGCCUAACUGAUAUAGCUCACCACUCGUAUGACAUGAGAGGUGGCAUCACUCUCAACAACAUUGUAUUCCCCGUGGACAUCCUCCUCCAAUGCUGGCGUCUGCUGACACCUUGGGAACUUCUUGUCAUCAAGAACCGGAGGAGAAUGAGGCACUGGAUGAAGACACUGCAAUGGUGAUGGUGGCCUUGCUACAACUGUUGGUGUUGACGGUAUGUACUCCAGUUUCCCCCGUUGGUACUGCUGGUGGCCAUGUAUCUUCUGUCCCAAGAGAGUCUCCAAUGCCGCAGGCCAUGACAUUGGCAGCAGCGUUGGUGGUACGAGUGGUGUUGUUAACGGUGAGGGCUCCCCUAGUGCUACUGUUGCUGCCAGUUUUGGAAAGAUGAU